GACGAACGCUGGCGGCGUGCUUAACACAUGCAAGUCGAACGGAAAGGCCCUGCUUUUGUGGGGUGCUCGAGUGGCGAACGGGUGAGUAACACGUGAGUAACCUGCCCUUGACUUUGGGAUAACUUCAGGAAACUGGGGCUAAUAUCGGAUAGGAGCUCCUGCUGCAUGGUGGGGGUUGGAAAGUUUCGGCCGUUGGGGAUGGACUCGCGGCUUAUCAGCUUGUUGGUGGGGUAGUUGCUUACCAAGGCUUUGACGGGUAGCCGGCCUGAGAGGGUGGCCGGGCCCCAUAGGACUAAGGGACGGACCAGAGGGCAACGGGGGGCAACGGGGGGAAAUAUUACACAGUGAGCGGGAGGGUGAUGCGGAGGCCCCGGGGUCGGGAAGACCGCGUUUGGGGUGAAAAAAGCUUUUGGCUUAGACGAAGCGGGAGUGACGGUAAUGGGUGAAGAAGCAACGGCUAACUUCGUG
rnacentral:rRNA from 1 species